rnacentral:rRNA from 1 species
AUUGAUCGCUGGCGGCAGGCCUAACACAUGCAAGUCGAACGGUAACAGGAAACAGCUUGCUGUUUCGCUGACGAGUGGCGGACGGGUGAGUAAUGUCUGGGAAACUGCCUGAUGGAGGGGGAUAACUACUGGAAACGGUAGCUAAUACCGCAUAACGUCGCAAGACCAACGAGGGGGACCUUCGGGCCUCUUGCCAUCGGAUGUUCCCAGAUGGGAUUAGCUAGUAGGUGGGGUAACGGCUCACCUAGGCGACGAUCCCUAGCUGGUCUGAGAGGAUGACCAGCCACACUGGAACUGAGACACGGUCCAGACUCCUACGGGAGGCAGCAGUGGGGAAUAUUGCACAAUGGGCGCAAGCCUGAUGCAGCCAUGUCGCGUGUAUGAAGAAGGCCUUCGGGUCGUAAAGUACUUUCAGCGGGGAGGAAGGGAGUAAAGUUAAUACCUUUGCUCAUUGACGUUACCCGCAGAAGAAGCACCGGCUAACUCCGUACCAGCAGCCGCAGUAA